rnacentral:lncRNA from 1 species
GUCGAAAUGUUCAAGAACGUCAGCGCCGCCCGAUAGCAAUAGUGAAGUUGCAGGAAGGCAUAAGGAAAGAGAUGAGUUCAAAGAAAUUCUUUUUUUAAUUUUUCUAGGUUUCUCUUUGGGCUGCCAGUGCCGGCUGAUGAAGGAGGAUAAAUUGAUCACACAAUGGUCAUUGGUCCAUGGACAAUUGGACAUUAUUUGGGUCUUUUUUUGUUUAAAAAAAUUAGGCCCAAUUUUGCUUACAAAUUUGCAAUAAGUUCCCCAGUCCGAGGCCGGCAUUCUCCAAAUGAAGAAGGGUCCGAUUCCAAAUAGCAAUCUUCACAAUCGACUCUCAAUUUCUCAUUCCCAAAUCCAAGAGCUUGCAAUUUGCAAACCCUUUUCCUCCCUAACUCCCUUCCUAGUUCCUAAUUCUGUUCAACCGCGUCACCAGCCAUGAGCCAUUAGCCAAGUCCAAAAGCUUCAAUCCUGGUUCUUCUUCUAUCGAGUUUGUCUGUCGAUCCCGAGUUUUGAGACUUCCGAUCUCGCAGUUCUAGUUCUGGUCAACAGACUACUGGAGCGAUUUUCGCCUGGUGACUGCCGACUAGUGGUGAGUGCUUUAUGUUCUACUUUAUUGCUUUUUUAUUUUUUAUUUUUUGGGUAUUGUUUUUGUUCUAUUUUGUUGGCUAUUUUUACUUGAUUUGUUGAAUAAAUAAUAACGAAUGUUGUUAACUAAAUUGUGUUAAUUGUUAUUACUUAUUAGUCUUAUAAAUAUUGAGUUAUGAACUUAU